GCUGCAAGCCGUCCUAUCGCUGUUCCGAUUUAUCGGAAGAGAGGAAAGUCCGGGCAACACAGAGCAUCCCACUUCCUAACGGGAAGGUCCCGGUUUACCGGGAACAGAUAGUGCCACAGAGAAUUACAGCCCUUCAGCAAUGAAUGGUGAUGGUGAAAACGUGAGGUAAGAGCUCACGAUAGCAGUUGGCGACAAUUGUUAUGGGUAAACCUUGGGAGUUGAAAGACCAAAUAAACCGGAGCGUAAGAGCUGCUCGCUCUAUCCGGAGGGUAGGUUGCUAGAAUGUUGCAGUGAUGCAGGAUCCAGAUAAAUGAUAGGACUCGACAGAACCCGGCUUACAGGCUUGCUUUUUUU
rnacentral:RNase_P_RNA from 1 species